rnacentral:misc_RNA from 1 species
AAGUCGUAACAAGGUUUCCGUAGGUGAACCUGCGGAAGGAUCAUUCACAACAAGUGUUUAUGGCACUUUCAAAUCCAUACCCACCUUGUGUGCAUCGUAAAGGCCCCUUCUUCAAAAGAAGACUGGGCUUCAUUUUCUCACACACACGUCUUCAAUUGCAAGUCUAAACAUUCAGAGUAAUCAAAAAACUCGAAUACAACUUUCAACAACGGAUCUCUUGGCUCUC